AUUGAACGCUGGCGGCAUGCUUUACACAUGCAAGUCGAACGGUAACAGGCCUUCGGGUGCUGACGAGUGGCGAACGGGUGAGUAAUGCAUCGGAACGUACCCAGAGGUGGGGGAUAACGCAGCGAAAGCUGUGCUAAUACCGCAUGUGAUCUGAGGAUGAAAGCGGGGGACCGAGCAGCAAUGUUUGGCCUCGCGCCUUUGGAGCGGCCGAUGUCGGAUUAGCUAGUUGGUGGGGUAAAGGCCUACCAAGGCGACGAUCCGUAGCUGGUCUGAGAGGACGACCAGCCACACUGGGACUGAGACACGGCCCAGGCUCCUACGGGAGGCAGCAGUGGGGAAUUUUGGACAAUGGGCGCAAGCCUGAUCCAGCAAUGCCGCGUGCGGGAAGAAGGCCUUCGGGUUGUAAACCGCUUUUGGCAGGAACGAAACGGUGUCCGCUAAUACCGGGCGCUAAUGACGGUACCUGCAGAAUAAGCACCGGCUAACUACGUG
rnacentral:rRNA from 1 species